AUACGUAGGGGGCGAGCGUUAUCCGGAUUCAUUGGGUUUAAAGGGAGCGUAGGCGGGAGCUUAAGUCAGCGGUUAAAUGGUGCGGCUCAACCGUGCCCUGCCGUUGAAACUGGGUUUCUUGAGAGUGCAAGAGGCGGAUGGAAUUCAUGGUGUAGCGGUGAAAUGCUUAGAUAUCAUGAAGAACUCCGAUUGCGAAGGCAGUCCGCUGGGGCACGUCUGACGCUGAUGCUCGAAGGUGCGGGAAUCAAACAGGAUUAGAUGCCCUGGUAGUCCGCACGGUAAACGAUGAUUACCCGCUGUCGGCGGCAGACAGUCGGCGGCCAAGCGAAAGCGAUAAGUAAUCCACCUGGGGAGUACGCCGGCAACGGUGAAACUCAAAGGAAUUGACGGGG
rnacentral:rRNA from 1 species